rnacentral:rRNA from 1 species
CCUACGGGCGGCAGCAGUGGGGAAUAUUGCACAAUGGGGGAACCCCUGAUGCAGCGAAGCCGCGUGAGUGAAGACGGACUUCGUUAUGUAAAGCUCUAUCAGCCGGGAAGAAAAUGACGGUACCUGAGUAAGAAGCCCCGGCUAACUACGUGCCAGCAGCCGCGGUAAUACGUAGGGGGCAAGCGGUAUCCGGAUUUACUGGGGGUAAAGGGGGCGUAGACGGCAGUGCAAGUCUGGAGUGAAAGGCGGGGGCUCAACCCCCGGACUGCUCUGGAAACUGUACGGCUGGAGUGCAGGAGAGGUAAGUGGAAUGCCUAGUGUAGCGGUGAAAUGCGUAGAUAUUAGGAGGAACACCAGUGGCGAAGGCGGCUUACUGAACUGUAACUGACGUUGAGGCUCGAAAGCGUGGGGAGCAAACAGGAUUAGAUACCCCUGUAGUC